AAAAGAAAAAGGAAAAAAUACACAGAAAAAGAAAAAGGGAGGGCUGAGCUCUCUGUUUUACGCUUUUAUAUAUGCUCUGUGUCUCUCUCUCGCACGGUUUGCAUAUUUCCAGGUUAAUGAAGUUGCCUAAUCGAUCUCCAUUCAAUUCCCAAGAUUCCCAUAAACACGACCUCCUAAAUCCAAAAUCUCUCGUGUUUUCCUGCCCAUUCUAGGGUUUCUUACUUUGAUCAUAUUUGCCUUUACUUUGCUUGCCUAGGGGUUUUAAACCAACCAAACAAAGAAACUACAAAGAAAAAGAACCAAAAAAAAAAAAUGGUGUUUGGAGCUCGG
rnacentral:misc_RNA from 1 species